rnacentral:tRNA from 1 species
AAUGAAGUGGCUGAUUAAGGCAAUAAACUGUAAAUUUAUUUAUGAUUCCCGGAUCCUUCAUUA